ACGAACGCUGGCGGCGUGCUUAACACAUGCAAGUCGAGCGGUAAGGCCUUUCGGGGUACACGAGCGGCGAACGGGUGAGUAACACGUGGGUGAUCUGCCCUGCACUCUGGGAUAAGCCUGGGAAACUGGGUCUAAUACUGGAUAUGACUACAGCAUGCAUGUGUUGUGGUGGAAAGAUUUAUCGGUGCAGGAUGGGCCCGCGGCCUAUCAGCUUGUUGGUGGGGUAAUGGCCUACCAAGGCGACGACGGGUAGCCGACCUGAGAGGGUGACCGGCCACACUGGGACUGAGACACGGCCCAGACUCCUACGGGAGGCAGCAGUGGGGAAUAUUGGGCAAUGGAGGAAACUCUGACCCAGCGACGCCGCGUGCGGGAUGAAGGCCUUCGGGUUGUAAACCGCUUUCAGCAGGGAAGAAGCGAAAGUGACGGUACCUGCAGAAGAAGCACCGGCUAACUAUGU
rnacentral:rRNA from 1 species